AGAACGAACGCUGGCGGCAGGCUUAACACAUGCAAGUCGAACGGUUGUAGCAAUACAGCAGUGGCGCACGGGUGAGUAACGCGUGGGAACAUACCUUUCAGUCGGGAAUAACAGCGGGAAACUGCUGCUAAUACCUGAUACUCCCUCCGGGGGAAAGAUUUAUCGCUGAAAGAUUGGCCCGCGUCAGAUUAGCUAGUUGGUGAGGUAACGGCUCACCAAGGCUCCGAUCUGUAGCUGGUCUGAGAGGACGACCAGCCACACUGGAACUGAGACACGGUCCAGACUCCUACGGGAGGCAGCAGUGGGGAAUAUUGGACAAUGGGCGAAAGCCUGAUCCAGCCAUGCCGCGUGAAUGAUGAAGGCCUUAGGGUUGUAAAGUUCUUUGUCAGGGAAGAUAAUGACGGUACCUGAAGAAUAAGCACCGGCUAACUUCGUGCCAGCAGCCGC
rnacentral:rRNA from 1 species